UACGUAGGGUGCGAGCGUUGUCCGGAAUUAUUGGGCGUAAAGAGCUUGUAGGCGGUUUGUCGCGUCUGCUGUGAAAUCUCAAGGCUCAACCUUGAGCUUGCAGUGGGUACGGGCAGACUAGAGUGUGGUAGGGGAGACUGGAAUUCCUGGUGUAGCGGUGAAAUGCGCAGAUAUCAGGAGGAACACCGAUGGCGAAGGCAGGUCUCUGGGC
rnacentral:rRNA from 1 species